rnacentral:rRNA from 1 species
CGCUGGCGGCGUGCCUAAUACAUGCAAGUCGAACGCACUCUCGUUAGAUUGAAGAAGCUUGCUUCUGAUUGAUAACAUUUGAGUGAGUGGCGGACGGGUGAGUAACACGUGGGUAACCUGCCCUAAAGUGGGGGAUAACAUUUGGAAACAGAUGCUAAUACCGCAUAAAACCUAGCACCGCAUGGUGCAAGGUUGAAAGAUGGUUUCGGCUAUCACUUUAGGAUGGACCCGCGGUGCAUUAGUUAGUUGGUGAGGUAAAGGCUCACCAAGACCGUGAUGCAUAGCCGACCUGAGAGGGUAAUCGGCCACACUGGGACUGAGACACGGCCCAGACUCCUACGGGAGGCAGCAGUAGGGAAUCUUCCACAAUGGACGAAAGUCUGAUGGAGCAACGCCGCGUGAGUGAAGAAGGUUUUCGGAUCGUAAAACUCUGUUGUUGGAGAAGAACGUAUUUGAUAGUAACUGAUCAGGUAGUGACGGUAUCCAACCAGAAAGCCACGGCUAACUACGUG